AAUUUAAAAAAGACCCGUUACGCAGUAAAUGAUAAACAGUUACCCGUACCUUUGGAACCUGAUCAAUUCUAAUCUAAUAGACGUUAGUGAUAUAAACAUAUUUUAUAAGAAUCACCGAUUAAUUUAUGUUAUCGAAAUACCUCUAAUCGAACAAAACAACUUUAUUUUAUAUCAUGUGAUUCCGUUACCAAUCAAGCAGGUUGAGAGGGGCAUUUAUGCAUUCAUAAACCUCAUUUAUACUUAUUUAGGUCUUAGAUCUGAUAAACAAUUAUAUACUCAUUUAACAGAACGCGAUAUAGAUAAAUGUAAAAAGAUUAAUAACGCAAUGAUUUGUAAACAAACGGAUUUGCUAUACCAAGUCUCAGCGAUUCAUAAUUGUGAAUCAGAAUUAUUGAAGUCAGCCAGAUUAGAGAGCAUAUUAAAAGAAUGUGAUGUUCGAGUUAUGAAAAUUCACAACACAGUGUGGUAUCAAUUAAAAACUACGAAUUUUUGGAUAUACACAGCUCCUCGUAACGAAACUCUUCACAUCUUAUGUAAAGACAAUAAGCCGCGACAAACACAAUUAUUUUCAACCGGACUUAUUAAGUUUUCCGCAGAUUGUGAUGCUAUUUCCGAUAAUGCAUUGUUACGCAGUCAAACCAUAGGCGUUAUAAAUACUAUCGAAAAGGAUUAUAUUCCCGAUGUUAAAUUAAAUACUAGUAAAUUAUGCAAAGAUCUCAAGAAACAUAACAUAAAUAUUUCAGAUAUUCACUUACUAAAUAUUGAUAAAACUCCUAAUUUAGACAUGCAAGUGUUAAAAACCGCAAGCUCCGCUCUAGAUGAAAUUUCUAAAGAAGCAGAAGAGUUAGGCAAACAUCAUCGUACUCAAACUCUGUACCAUAAAGUUAUAGGAUGGUUUUACUAUGUAAUAUAUACCAUUGCAGGCCUAGUAAUUUUAUAAAUAAUUGCGAAAUGUUCAUUAAUAACAAAAUGUAUCGACAUUAUUAUUAUUAUUAUUCUUAAACUAUGUUGCGUACCAAAAGAAGGAUGCGUUCAGUAUUUUUAUAAAUGUUUGAACAAUAAUGUUACAACUCGUCACAAUGACCCGCGACAUGUAGUGACUUUCACCGCAGUACCUACGGCAGAUGAACUUUUCCAGAACGACGAAACUGAAAAAUGUGAAAAGAAUAGUGGAAGGCGUCGAUCUCGUUCCCGUAAUAGCCGACUUACAAAUUUAGUGUAAUUUUAUUGCGUGCGAUUUUAGUACGUAAGACCAUAUAUUAGUCUUUUCAAUUUUAAUUUCAUUUAUGUAUCAAUCUGAAAUGGUGUAACUGCAUUAUGUAUGAACAUUAAUAGAUUAAGUUAUCAUGUCACCGUCCCAGAUAGCCAGUUUGGUAUAAUAAAGAUAUUAGCAUCUUCCUAUGCAUUUAUGUCGUCCGUUGUGCUGUUGUUUGCUAGCAUUCGAUGUCGGAAAUAAAAUUCUUUGCACGUUUCAAACAUUAUGCUAGCAUUAUUUAAGAUCAGUGUCGAAUGCUAGCAAAUAACAGCACAAGGGACGACGUAAAUGCAUAGCAAGAUGCUAACAUCUUUAUUAGCAACAUGAGAACAAUUUGUGCUCAUACAUACAUUUGUGGCUAUCUGGGGUAAUCGUAAUAUCGCUAGAUUAUAAGAAUUUGUCAAAUCAAGAAGGAUCUUUAAUUUAAGGGAGAAGGUGUUAUGUGCCUAGACACGAUAAAAAUUCUUUUCUUUAAAAUAUUUCUAUCUAAUCACCCUGUACAAACUAUGUCUUAAAACUAUCCCGAUAUAUCAUACCAGAUCCUUACUUAUUGAUAACCUUUUCUAUCUACGGUCUUUUUAAACUUAAUAUUUGUUUGUUUCCUCGUCCUGUAAACAUCCUGCAUCCCACCCAAACUAUUCUUUAUGACAUAGAUAUCAAUUAUCAAAUUCUCUCCUUUUUAAGAAAUCAACCAAUAGUUAUUUCCGCCUUACGAGCACUUCCUAUGAUUGGAUGAUGCUAACUUAUUCCGACUUUAAUAUAAGGAUCCCUUUCGAUGAUUAGAGUCAGUCUCUGUACUAAACCACUAGAAGUUAGACGAAAGUCUGUAAAACGUUAGAAUAAACACUUUAAAAUACCAGUGCGAUCCAUCUCUCACAUUACGUGCAUCUCACACGUAACAGGUCGCACGAAAAAGGCCGCAGUGGCCGCUCUCAGGUUCCUCUCUGGGUGCGUUCGGGGAGCUCGCUAUUAGCGCUACGCAGCACUACCGCUGUUCGCGGAGACGCUGGAUAGCGCUAUCAAGCGCUGUCGUGACGUCAUUGCUGGUAGCGUUAUACGUCAUAACUGCUCGCUACCGACGCACUUCCUUUCGAGGUAGUGCAUGGGUAGCGUUAGCGUUGAUAGCGUUUGCGAACUUCACGAACAGUCUGAUAGUAACGUAGCGUUCUCCCCAUGGUGGAAGGAAGUAAGGUGUGCUCAUACUGAAGACGCGUUUUCGUAUCGUUCUGCGCAUUGUACCAGCGGCCUUCAUUUUUAAAUUCUUGUGUUUAUGUCAGAACUGUCAGAAGCAAUCAGAAGGCAUUUAACCUUAAUUUCUGACGUUUGUAGGUAGGUUUAUACUGUUUAAGUAUCGGAGCACUAUGCCUUCAUGUGCAGUGAAAAGUUGCUCAAAUUAUACAGGGAAAAGGGGAUCCGGAAAUCUAAAGUUUUUUAGAUUUCCUAUAGAUCCCAUUUUAAGUGAUCAGUGGAAAGUCAUUUGCCAAAAUGAAAAUCUUAAUGUAAAAAAUGGUAUGUUACAGAAACAUUUAUUCUAUCUCGUUGUAUUUGCUAAUACUAAUUGUAUUUAAUCAAAGAAAUAAUAACAAAAACAAUAAUAAUAAAGAUUUUGUAUGUGUAUAGCUCGGAUCUGUUUGAUCCAUUUUGAUGCAAGUGCAUAUAAAGAGGCUUCAUGGAUGCGAUCUAUUCUGGGAGAAGGGUACUCGCCCCAAAAAACCAGAAAAUUAAAAGCAGAUGCAAUUCCGACAGAAUAUCUUAAAUUAAUUGUAAAUAAAGGUAGUAAUUUAUUUUUUGUAUGUUUCUAAAUGUAUUUAUUUUUGCACGUAAAAUACAUGUGAGUAUUCUUUUACUAUCUAUUAAACUUUUUUUAUAUUUUAUAUAUGUUAUACAUUAUACAUCUAUAUUUUUAAUAUUAAGUUUAUUCCUUCAUUUAAUUACAAUUAUUUAUAGUAUUAAUGAAAUAUUAUUUAUCUCCUAUUAUUUCAGUACCCGAUGAAACUGCUCAGUCAAUUUGUACAGAAGAGCAAUCGAAUGUAGAACAUCAAAUUGUAGAACAAUAUAAUAACUCUUCUUAUUCUCAAUCAUAUGAUACCAAUGCCAAAGAAAAAACUUUAAAACAGAACAAAAAUAUACAAAGAAUGUGCCAAAAAUUAUUAGCCCGAAAUAAGUAUUUAGAAAGGGAACUUUUUAAGCAACAAAAACGCGUAAAAGUAAAUUCAGACAUAAGAAUACGAAAAAUUUUAAGUUCAAUAUUUACUCCCGAACAAAUUAAAUUGUUGUUAAAUCCGAAUAAAAAAAAAAAACUAAUUGGUCUGCAGAGGAUAUAGUUGCUGCAAUAUCCCUACGCACUGUAAGUCCUAAAGCUUACAGAUAUUUACAGAAUGCACGGAAUGUGCCACUCCCUGCAUUGUCGACACUUCGUAGAUGGGUUGCUACAUUCAAUGUUGAUAAUGGUAUUUUGGAACAUGUUUUCCUUAUUAUUAUGAAGCAUAAAAGCCAGAACAUGACUAAAAUGGAUAAAAUAACCACGUUAUGUUUUGAUGAAAUUCAUCUAUCCAAUCAAGCAGGAAUUAAACGGAGAAAGGAAAGAGUCAUAGAACCGCAUAAUAAAUGUCAGGUUGCUGUUGCCAGAGGUUUGUUUACUAAAUGGAAGCAACCUGUUUAUUAUGAAUUUGAUCAAAACAUGACUAAACAUAUAUUAACAACUAUAAUAGCUAAAUUGUAUGAAAUCAAUUACAUGGUUGUUGCGAUAACCAGUGAUUUAGGGCCAACGAAUCAAAGAUUACUCAAUGAACUGGAUAUUGAUAGUGCAAAAUUUAAGGUAAAACAUACUUUCUACAUCCAUGCAAUGGAGAAAUAAAAAUAUACGUAUUUAUUGAUGUACCGCACCUAAUAAAAUUGUUACGUAAUUUAUUUGACUCCGGAUUUUACAUAAAUGGUCAUUACAUAAGUAAAACCUGUCUAGAAAGGCUAAUUCAAAUUAAUGGCAAUGAUUUAAAAAUUGUACACAAAUUGUCACGAUUUCAUUUAGACGUGAAGGGAACGCAGCGACAAAACGUCAAACUUGCCACACAAGUUUUUUCUAAUACAAAUGCUACCGCUUUAGAAUGGUGUGGCGAGAAAAGAUUUAUGGAGGAUUGUUUAGAAUGGUCUGAAACUGCAAAAUUUAUCAGACUAUUUAAUGAUUGGUUUGAUUUAUUCAAUUCUUCGAGUAAAUUCGGCUCACAUUCUGGAAUGCAUGCAUAUGGCAUAAAUAUUGAGAAACAAAAUGAACUCUUGGCUAAAGUUUCGUUACUUGUUAAAGAUAUGAGGAUUGAAAAAAAGAAGAAUUUACUUCCAUUUCAAAAAGGAAUUUUAAUAAGUAAUGAGUCAUUAAAAAAACUUAUAUAAUGAUAUGAAAAUGAUGUUUGAAAAUACUCAGUAUCCCGUUACAUAUAUAAUGACUACUCGACUCAAUCAGGAUGUAGUGGAAAAUUUGUUUGCGUAUAUACGAGCAAUGGGAGCUUGUAAUGACAGACCGACAGCACUCGAUCUUAGAUACAGAUUUCGAUGGUACAUAUUAGGAAAGCAUUCGACAGACGUUUUUACUCAAGGGAGUAACACUGUUGUGCAAAAUUUGACAGACAAUGAAACUUACCUUACUAGUAUGUCUGAUGAAUUAUUUAACAGUAAUGAAGAGAAUGCAGAAAACAAUAAUCAAUUGGAUUACGAAACCAUUCAAGAAAUACAAUUUUGCAACAUUUCGGAAGAAUUCACUGAACAAAAUCAGACAGAUAAUAAUAUUGAUUUCGACGAAUUUGAAUACAAUAAUAUUGGUAAGUUAUUAAAUUUGUAAUUGUAUUGACUGCAUAUACUGAAAUAUAUGUAUUGUAUUAAUAUUUACUCUUUUAUUCAUAUAUUGUUUACUGUUAAUCAUAAUUAUAAUCGUCAAUACUACUGUUUCUGAUAACAUAUCAUAGAUAACAUAUCAAGCUGUUUUACCCAAUCGUCAAGAAUCCCAUCCUCCUCCAGAACAGUUUGAAAAUUUUAUAAAUGUAUCCGACGUUAUACAGAAAGAAGGUUUAAAAUAUAUUGCCGGUUAUGCAGCAUCUAGAUUCCGAAAUAAAUACCCAUUUUUAGGAACUCCUACUAAACUACUAGCUAAUUCAAAUGAAGACUGGAUCAAUUAUAUUUCGAAAGGUGGACUGAUUAGUCCUUCCAUUGAAUUGAUUAAAACGGCAGAAAUAAUGAAUUCGGAAUUUAAAAAAUUUCAUGGUUUAUUUAUCAGUAAAAAGUCCAAAAUUUUUAAAACAAUUGCUGAAAAAGUGAGAAAAAACAAACAUACUUUAGUAAUACCUUUAGAGAUAUUAUUAUGCCUAAUUAAAACGCGAACAUAUAUACGUUUACGUGAAAUUAAUAAAAAAAUUAAUAUUGAAAAUCA